ACGGAAGGCAGCAGUGGGGGAUAUUGGACAAUGGGGGAAACCCUGAUCCAGCGACGCCGCGUGAGUGAAGAAGUAUUUCGGUAUGUAAAGCUCUAUCAGCAGGGAAGAAAAAGCGCAAGCAUUGACAGUAUCUGACUAAGAAGCUCCGGCUAAAUACGUGCCAGCAGCCGCGGUAAUACGUAUGGAGCAAGCGUUAUCCGGAUUUACUGGGUGUAAAGGGAGCGUAGACGGGACUGCAAGUCUGAUGUGAAAGGCAGGGGCUUAACCCCUGGACUGCAUUGGAAACUGUAGACCUUGAGUGCCGGAGAGGUAAGCGGAAUUCCUAGUGUAGCGGUGAAAUGCGUAGAUAUUAGGAGGAACACCAGUGGCGAAGGCGGCUUACUGGACGGUAACUGACGUUGAGGCUCGAAAGCGUGGGGAGCAAACAGGAUUAGAUACCCUGGUA
rnacentral:rRNA from 1 species